rnacentral:lncRNA from 1 species
UAGCAGCCUGCACUCAGCACUGAGCACCCCCUCCCUCACCUGUACUCAGCACCAAGCACCCUCUCCCUCACCUAUACUCAGCACUGAGCACCCUCUCCCUCACUUGUAAUCAGCACCAAGCACCCUCUCCCUCACCUGUACUCAGCACCGAGCACCCUCUCCCUCACCUGUACUCAGGAUAGGGCACCUUCUCCCUCACCUGUACUCAUGAUCGGGCACCCUCUCCCUUACCUGUACUCAGCACCGAGCACCCUCUCCUUCACCUGUACUCAGGACUGGGCACCCUCUCCCUUACCUGUACUCAGCACCGAGCACCCUCUCCCUCACCUGUACUCAGGAUAGGGCACCUUCUCCCUCACCUGUACUCAGCACCGAGCACCCUCUUCCUCACCUGUACUCAGCACUGAGCACCCUCUCCCUCACCUGUACUCAGCACCGAGCACCCUCUUCCUCACCUGUACUCAGCACUGAGCACCCUCUCCCUCACCUGUACUCAGCACCGAGCACCCUCUCCCUCACCUGUACUCAGCACUGAGCACCCUCUCCCUCACCUGCCAUGUAGUCAUCAUCUGCCUGCAUGAACUAUAAGAUUAGGGAUAGUGUCUUGCUAAGUCUGUCUCCACCCAAUCAGACUAUUCCAAUGGGUUUCACAUACACAGCUACAGGUACUACAACCCACACAAUAUGGAGACCAGUCUGGAGGGAUGCCAAGGCCGAUCUUCCUGACUCUAGCCUCUGUGAACCCUAGAAGAUUGCAUCACAGCAGAGACCUGCUGAUUGUUCAAGACAUGGAGUACCUGCCAGGGUCCUCAGGGAGCCUGAGCACAAUCCCCACGUGCCCCCACCCUGAGGCCAGCUCUGACCUCUGGCUCGCCCUGCAGAAGGCCAUGUAGUUCCAGCUGUUCGUACACCUGGGCACGGUAGCGAGCCAUCUGCUGUUUCUUCUCCUUGGCCAGAUCGUAGUCUUCCUUCUCCACCGCACAGCGCUUCUCCACUUCAUAGCGCCCUAGGCGCUCACCGACCUGCAGCACACAACGUGGGCAUCUACUCUCAUAGGACAUGCGUGGGUGGGAGGGUCUGUGCUGUAUGCUGUCUCAAUACCUGGCACUCAGGAGUCCCACACGGCCAAAGCCUCUGGCUCACUGAUCCCCAACGCUACCUGCCUGGGACUCUAACUGCAUCUCUGCUCCUCAGCCUUCAGGAACCUUCAGGGGUGGUGCAGAGGAGAUCCAGCCUGGGCAGGUGAGGGUAUGUGCUCAGAAGCUGUACCUUCUGCAAGUCAGCGAUCGCUUGCUUCAGUUUCUUUGCAUGGUCAUAGCGCUCCUUCUUGACAGCUUCCCGUUUCCUUUCAUCCAGCCUGCGGAUGAUCUGGGCAACUUCAGGGUCUUGGUACAUGUCAAAAGCCAAGUCAUCAAGUGGAGAGAUGUAGUCAGAUCGCCUAAGGAGAGAAGACGACCCCUUCGGUCAGGAGAGCCAAGAGCUCAUGCUGCACACAGGUGAGAAGGUUAGAAAAGGUUCAGGGGUGUUCACAGGGCCCCCUCUCGAGGCCUGACUCAGAGAGGCCGUUCAGGCUGCAGCCAUGAGCGACAGGGGCUCCUGCUCCCUGUGACUCAGAGAGGCCGUUCAGGCCGCAGCCAUGAGCGACAGGGGCUCCUGCAACCUGUGCUUCACUGGGCUGCGUGUCAGGCAGGCCGCAGACACUCAGCACCCGUGACCUGUUGUGAGCACAGCAGGAAGUACCUUUGUUCUGAGUGACCCAAAUGCAAGCUAUGACCUGGGUAGUUACAUAUAGGUUAAGUUUAUAUAAAUAGUAUCUGUCACAAGGAGUUUAGCUGGAAAACUUUAAUCAGGUCAAACGGGCCUGGGACACAUGCUUUAUUUAAAAAUCCCCAGGCCCCCUUCUGCUGUCCCCAUCUCUAAUCAGGCCCUUUGCCUGGCAGCCCAGUGACUAAUACUGCAAUGAACAUCCCUUCCAUCAGUAACGUAAGGGUCGACACAGCUCACACUAACUGUCAACACCAUGCUUGCAAGCCUACACCACUCUGCCAUGUCCCAGAAACCAAUACAAAGGUUUUAUUUUAAAAAUUCUCACCG